rnacentral:rRNA from 1 species
GACGAACGCUGGCGGCGCGCCUAACACAUGCAAGUCGAACGAGAGAGAGGAAGCUUGCUUCCUCAAUCGAGUGGCGAACGGGUGAGUAACGCGUGAGGAACCUGCCUCAAAGAGGGGGACAACAGUUGGAAACGACUGCUAAUACCGCAUAAGCCCACAGCUCGGCAUCGAGCAGAGGGAAAAGGAGCAAUCCGCUUUGAGAUGGCCUCGCGUCCGAUUAGCUAGUUGGUGAGGUAACGGCCCACCAAGGCGACGAUCGGUAGCCGGACUGAGAGGUUGAACGGCCACAUUGGGACUGAGACACGGCCCAGACUCCUACGGGAGGCAGCAGUGGGGAAUAUUGCACAAUGGGGGAAACCCUGAUGCAGCGACGCCGCGUGGAGGAAGAAGGUCUUCGGAUUGUAAACUCCUGUUGUUGAGGAAGAUAAUGACGGUACUCAACAAGGAAGUGACGGCUAACUACGUGCCAGCAGCCGCGGUAAAACGUAGGUCACAAGCGUUGUCCGGAAUUACUGGGUGUAAAGGGAGCGCAGGCGGGAGAACAAGUUGGAAGUGAAAUCCAUGGGCUCAACCCAUGAACUGCUUUCAAAACUGUUUUUCUUGAGUAGUGCAGAGGUAGGCGGAAUUCCCGGUGUAGCGGUGGAAUGCGUAGAUAUCGGGAGGAACACCAGUGGCGAAGGCGGCCUACUGGGCACCAACUGACGCUGAGGCUCGAAAGUGUGGGUAGCAAACAGGAUUAGAUACCCUGGUAGUCCACACCGUAAACGAUGAUACUAGGUGUGGGAGGAUGACCCCUUCAGUGCCGCAGUAAACACAAUAAGUAAUCCACCUGGGGAGUACGACCGCAAGGUUGAUACUCAAAGGAAUUGACGGGGGCCCGCACAAGCAGUGGAGUAUGUGGUUUAAUUCGACGCAACGCGAAGAACCUUACCAAGUCUUGACAUCCUGCGACGCACAUAGAAAUAUGUGUUUCCUUCGGGACGCAGAGACAGGUGGUGCAUGGUUGUCGUCAGCUCGUGUCGUGAGAUGUUGGGUUAAGUCCCGCAACGAGCGCAACCCUUAUGGUCAGUUACUACGCAAGAGGACUCUGGCCAGACUGCCGUUGACAAAACGGAGGAAGGUGGGGAGGACGUCAAAUCAUCAUGCCCUUUAUGACUUGGGCUACACACGUACUACAAUGGCGUUAAACAAAGAGAAGCAAGACCGCGAGGUGGAGCAAAACUCAGAAACAACGUCCCAGUUCGGACUGCAGGCUGCAACUCGCCUGCACGAAGUCGGAAUUGCUAGUAAUCGUGGAUCAGCAUGCCACGGUGAAUAAAAGGCCGGGCCUUGCACA